CCCUUAGAUGUCCUGGGCUGCACGCGCGCUACACUGAUGUGUCCAGUAAGCACCUAACCUCUUCCGAAAGGAACGGGUAACCUUUGCAAAGCACAUCGUGAUGGGGAUAGAUUAUUGCAAUUAUUAGUCUUGAACGAGGAAUUCCUAGUAAGCACAAGUCAUCAGCUUGUGUUGAUUACGUCCCUGCCCUUUGUACACACCGCCCGUCGCUCCUACCGAUUGAAUGUUCCGGUGAGCUCUUCGGACUGCGCGGUCUGCAGUUUCUGCGUUCCGUGCGGAAAGUUGCGCAAACCUUAACAUUUAGCGGAAGGAGAAGUCGUAACA
rnacentral:rRNA from 1 species